UAUGAAGGCCUUCGGGUUGUAAACCGCUUUCAGUAGGGAAGAAGCGAAAGUGACGGUACCUACAAAAGAAGCACCGGCUAACUAUGUGCCAGCAGCCGCGGUAAUACAUAGGGUGCAAGCGUUGUCCGGAAUUAUUGGGCGUAAAGAGCUCGUAGGUCGUUUGUUACGUCGGAUGUGAAAACCUGAGGCUCAACCUCAGGCCUGCAUUCGAUACGGGCAAACUAGAGUUUGGUAGGGGAGACUGGAAUUCCUGGUGUAGCGGUGGAAUGCGCAGAUAUCAGGAGGAACACCAAUGGCGAAGGCAGGUCUCUGGGCCAAUACUGACACUGAGGAGCGAAAGUCUGGGGAGCGAACAGGAUUAGAUACCCUGGUAGUCCAGACCGUAAACGGUGGGCACUAGUUGUGGGAACCUUCCACGGUUUCUGCGACGCAGCUAACGCAUUAAGUGCCCCGCCUGGGGAGUACGAUCGCAAGAUUAAAACUCAAAGGAAUUGACGG
rnacentral:rRNA from 1 species